GAUGACGGCCUUCGGGUUGUAAAGCUCUGUCUUCAGGGACGAUAAUGACGGUACCUGAGGAGGAAGCCACGGCUAACUACGUGCCAGCAGCCGCGGUAAUACGUAGGUGGCGAGCGUUAUCCGGAUUUACUGGGCGUAAAGGAUGCGUAGGUGGAAUUUUAAGUGGGAUGUGAAAUACCGGGCUCAACCUGGGAACUGCAUUCCAAACUGGAAUUCUAGAGUGCAGGAGAGGAAAGCGGAAUUCCUAGUGUAGCGGUGAAAUGCGUAGAGAUUAGGAAGAACACCAGUGGCGAAGGCGGCUUUCUGGACUGUAACUGACACUGAGGCAUGAAAGCGUGGGGAGCAAACAGGAUUAGAUACCCUGGNUAGUC
rnacentral:rRNA from 1 species